GUGGAGAAAUAACAAGGGGAUAGCAAUGGAAAAAAAUGUUUGGAUGAAAGAAACACCCAUAAAAACUGUGACUCCUCCAUCUGAAGACUGCUUUCAUAUCUGUGACUCAGAAGGGAAUUGUGGCUCUUAUAAUGCAAUGAAGGAGGCAUUGCUCAGGCAUCAUCUGCUAAAGGACAGAUAUUGUCUUAUUUACCAGCAGCCACUGAUUUGUGAAAGGUAUGUGUGAGAGACAUUGGUUGCACUGUUCUUCUUGCACUGUUCUGUAACAUGAGUUUUCUGGUUCGGCAGGUCCUGUUGCCCUUCUCUGCUCCGAAGAAACAUGUAGAUGCUAUAUUUGUUAUAAAGCUGUUGUCAGGGAUGGAGAGAUGGCUCAGGGGUUAAGAGCACUGACUGUUCUUCCAGAGGUUCUGAGUUCAAUUCCCAGCAACCACAUGGUGGCUCACAACCAUCUGUAAUGUGAUCUGGUGCCCUCUUCUGGCACGCACUGUAUACAUGAUAAAUAAAUAAAUAAAUCUUAAAAAAAAAUAAAGCUAU
rnacentral:lncRNA from 1 species